rnacentral:rRNA from 1 species
CUACGGGUGGCUCCAGUGAGGAAUUUUGCGCAAUGGGGGCAACCCUGACGCAGCAACGCCGCGUGAGUGAAGAAGGCCUUUGGGUCGUAAAGCUCUGUCAACAGGGAAGAAGUUACUUCAUAUUAAUAGUAUGUAGUAUUGACGGUACCUGUGGAGGAAGCAUCGGCUAACUCCGUGCCAGCAGCCGCGGUAAUACGGGGGAUGCAAGCGUUAUUCGGAAUCAUUGGGCGUAAAGGGCACGCAGGCGGCUCUGUCAGUCAGAUGUGAAAGCCCGGGGCUCAACCCCGGACGUGCAUUUGAAACAGCAGAGCUUGAGUACGGUAGAGGAAAGCGGAAUUCCUGGUGUAGAGGUGAAAUUCGUAGAUAUCAGGAGGAACACCGGUGGCGAAGGCGGCUUUCUGGACCGAAACUGACGCUGAGGUGCGAAGGCGUGGGUAGCGAACAGGAUUAGAUACCCCAGUAGUC